UUCCAGACUCCUACGGGAGGCAGCAGUGGGGAAUAUUGCACAAUGGGGGGAACCCUGAUGCAGCGACGCCGCGUGAGUGAAGAAGUAAUUCGUUAUGUAAAGCUCUAUCAGCAGGGAAGAAAAUGACGGUACCUGAGUAAGAAGCCCCGGCUAACUACGUGCCAGCAGCCGCGGUAAUACGUAGGGGGCAAGCGUUAUCCGGAUUCACUGGGUGUAAAGGGAGCGUAGACGGCCAUGCAAGCCAGGGGUGAAAGCCCGGGGCCCAACCCCGGGACUGCCCUUGGAACUGCAUGGCUGGAGUGCGGGAGGGGCAGGCGGAAUUCCUGGUGUAGCGGUGAAAUGCGUAGAUAUCAGGAGGAACACCGGCGGCGAAGGCGGCCUGCUGGACCGCGACUGACGUUGAGGCUCGAAAGCGUGGGGAGCGAACAGGAUUAGAUACCCUCGUAGC
rnacentral:rRNA from 1 species